rnacentral:rRNA from 1 species
UUAAAUUGAAGAGUUUGAUCAUGGCUCAGAUUGAACGCUGGCGGCAGGCCUAACACAUGCAAGUCGAGCGGUAGCACAGAGAGCUUGCUCUCGGGUGACGAGCGGCGGACGGGUGAGUAAUGUCUGGGAAACUGCCUGAUGGAGGGGGAUAACUACUGGAAACGGUAGCUA